ACCACAUGUGAGUCAAAACUUUCAUUCAGCGUGUGGCAGGAGAGCAAAGACAUCUUCAGUGUUCUCCGCUCCAGCCUUUACUGGUCUCCACGGUGCUGAACCACUGUGAGACUCAAAUGGAGGAAGUGUGCGUCCCAGGGAAGGUGCUUCCCCUCUGGUCCUCAGCUCCGUCCGGGGGCCUCGGAGGAGCCACCGACUCCUUCCUGAGCGCCGCACGGCUGGCGAGGGGGGGGUGGAGGGAGUCCAGCGGACCCGGGUCUCCAGCCCCUCCCCCUCGACCCCAACACAGCUCCCCCGCUGGCCAGGAGGAGAACUACACCCCCUCGCCUCCGACGACAGGCCAGAGAGACGCAGACAGGCCUGUACGCUUGGGACCAGGUCUAACAGCCCAGCAGACAGACAGGCCUGUACGCUUGGGACCAGGUCUAACAGCCCAGCAGAUAGACAGGCAUCUGCGCAGAAGAGUCGGUCUAGCAUCCAGGCAGAGAGAUAGGCGGGUCCCUGGUGUCACUGGAGUCUCCUGUAUUUCUGGUAUCACUGGUGACUCUGUUGCUGUCUCUGCUGGUGACUCUCGUGUCUCUGGUAUCCCUGAUGUCGCUGGUGUCUCUGAUGGUGUCUCUUGUGUCUCUGGUAUCACUUGUGUUUCUGUUGAUGUCUUUGGUGUCACGGGUGUCUCUGCUGGUGUCUCGUCGGGCUGUCACAGAUCGGGGAGGUGGAGGGUCAGAGGGUCUUCGCUGCCUGUUAUCACAGAGGUAUAGAUAUAGAUCAUAUAGAAGCUGCAGAUAUGGAGCUGAAACAUGUGUUAGUGUUGGGAAACUCCACAAUAUGUAACAAUGAUAAAAACGACUAUUUUUUUACUCCUAAUUUCCUCUAAACCAAGACCUCUUCUAUAUCUACAUUAUGUUAUUUAUAUUGAGAGAGACUGAGAGAAAUCAAAUCAUAAUGAAUGAAGGAAGGAUGAUGUGUACUUAUAAAUAAUAAAUAAAGAUACGAUAAUUUGUGUUUAAUAAUGAAUAAAUGAAGGAUAAUGUCUAUUGAAUGAUUAGUAAAGGAAGGAUUAUGCGUAUUUAAUAAUGACAAAAUGAAGGAUAAUGUGUGUUUAAUGAAUACAGGAAGGUUAAUAUGCAUUUAAUAAUGAAUAAAUGAAGGAUAAUGUGUAUUUAAAAAAUACAGGGAGGUUAAUGUGUGAUAAAUAAUGAAUGAAAGAAAGAAAACGUGAAUCCAAGAAAGAAUAAACUUGGGGAUAAUGUAAAUGAAAGUGUUUACAAGAUAUACUU